UACGUAGGUGGCAAGCGUUGUCCGGAUUUACUGGGCGUAAAGAGCGCGCAGGCGGUCGUUCAAGUCGCGUGUGAAAGCCCCCGGCUCAACUGGGGAGGGUCACGCGAUACUGAUCGACUCGAAGGCAGGAGAGGGUAGUGGAAUUCCCGGUGUAGUGGUGAAAUGCGUAGAUAUCGGGAGGAACAUCAGUGGCGAAGGCGACUACCUGGCCUGUUCUUGACGCUGAGGCACGAAAGCUAGGGGAGCAAACAGG
rnacentral:rRNA from 1 species